UUCAUAGUUUCCUUGUCGGAGAGAGAAGUUCGUCCCAAAGCUUGCCGCUGUAUUUAUACCCUCCACCUUAAAGAAGGGUGCUUCAUUCAGCUUUGAGUGUGACUACAGACGGAGUUAAUUCCAUCACGGUGUGGGAGUGAGGAGGGUCUGGUUUUAUAUGUGGCCGUGACAAAAAGAGCAAAAUUAAAUGUUACACAAAAUCAAAUCAGAUUCUUUUUUUUCUUUUCCAGGCAGACCUUCUUCUCUGGCUAUGUGACCACAUUCUUAGUCAGGAUCUGCACCAGAUCCCAACACCACCCACGAUCUUUAAAUGCCUAAAGCAUUCGACUGGUCCAGCCUCUGGCACGUAUCCUGGAGGGAAACGCUGUCUGAGGGCAAAACUGUGUCUCAGCAGAUAGUGGACGCAUCAGGACAAAGAGUUCAAGAGGAUUUCUGACUCUCCAGAGGGCAGACUUUCUAGUGUAUGAUAAGCCACUGUGCUGGGAUUCAUGCCCAUAAACAGACGUCACGAGGACUGAUCUUUGGCUGACGCUGUCGAGCCAUGGGUUGCAUGUCGCUCUGAUACAAGCCAGCGCUUAUUAAUUCCCGUCCCUUGAUCUUUGACUGCCUGAGUGACGUCUUGUGUCGCAGGCAGAGCUCGGGUGUUGACUGGUUCGACGUCAUGAAUUUGUGACGACGUGAGUCACAGGAGCGGGGACAUUUAGCCCCCUGUGGCACGCACAGUCGAGCACUUUCAGAUAAUCAGAUGCGGUCGUGUUGAAAGCAGAAUGGAGGAUUAUUCAUUAUUCAUAUGAUUAAGAUUAAAUGAUUUUGACGUUAAAAUGUGUGCCUGGAAAAAUUGAUCCUGUAACCUUUUGUUCAUUCAUUAAUUUCAGUUUUAUGCUGAAGAGGAAGACAGAUUGUUAUCAUGCUUUUAAUCAGGAUUGAUGUGUUUCUUUUUAAUCUGUUUCCUGUCAUUUAUUUUUUCCCAUAUGUAAUUUCUUCAUGGUUAACCAUAAAAUGUUGAAGCAC